rnacentral:rRNA from 1 species
CCUACGGGGGGCAGCAGUGGGGGAUAUUGCACAAUGGGGGAAACCCUGAUGCAGCGACGCCGCGUGUGGGAAGACGGUCCUCUGGAUUGUAAACCACUGUUCCCAGGGACGAAGAUGACGGUACCUGGGGAGGAAGCUCCGGCUAACUACGUGCCAGCAGCCGCGGUAAUACGUAGGGAGCAAGUGUUGUCCGGAAUUACUGGGUGUAAAGGGAGCGUAGGCGGGAUGGCAAGUUGGGUGUUAAAUCUACCGGCUCAACUGGGAGUCGCACUCAAAACUGCUAUUCUUGAGUGAAGUAGAGGCAGGCGGAAUGCCUAGUGUAGCGGUGAAAUGCGUAGAUAUUAGGAGGAACACCAGUGGCGAAGGCGGCCUGCUGGGCUUUUACUGACGCUGAGGCUCGAAAGUGUGGGGAGCAAACAGGGUUAGAUACCCCUGUAGUC